AACGAACGCUGGCGGCAGGCCUAACACAUGCAAGUCGAGCGGACCUUUCGGGGUCAGCGGCGGACGGGUGAGUAACGCGUGGGAAUAUGCCCUUCUCUACGGAAUAGUCCUGGGAAACUGGGGGUAAUACCGUAUACGCCCUUUGGGGGAAAGAUUUAUCGGGGAAGCAUUAGCCCGCGUUGGAUUAGGUAGUUGGUGGGGUAAUGGCCUACCAAGCCGACGAUCCAUAGCUGGUUUGAGAGGAUGAUCAGCCACACUGGGACUGAGACACGGCCCAGACUCCUACGGGAGGCAGCAGUGGGGAAUCUUAGACAAUGGGGGCAACCCUGAUCUAGCCAUGCCGCGUGAGUGAUGAAGGCCUUAGGGUUGUAAAGCUCUUUCAGCUGGGAAGAUAAUGACGGUACCAGCAGAAGAAGCCCCGGCUAACUCCGUG
rnacentral:rRNA from 1 species